GCAUUCGUGGUAAAGUGGUUAGCACACUCGGCGCGUAUUCGAGAGGUCCGAGGUUCGAAUCUCGGUGAGGGCA
rnacentral:tRNA from 1 species